rnacentral:rRNA from 1 species
AGUGAACGCUGGCGGUAGGCCUAACACAUGCAAGUCGAACGGCAGCACAGUAAGAGCUUGCUCUUACGGGUGGCGAGUGGCGGACGGGUGAGGAAUACAUCGGAAUCUACUUUUUCGGGGGGGAUAACGUAGGGAAACUUAAGCUAAUACCGCAUACGACCUACGGGUGAAAGCAGGGGAUCUUCUGACCUUGCGCGAUUGAAUGAGCCGAUGUCGGAUUAGCUAGUUGGCGGGGUAAAGGCCCACCAAGGCGACGAUCCGUAGCUGGUCUGAGAGGAUGAUCAGCCACACUGGAACUGAGACACGGUCCAUACUCCUACGGGAGGCAGCAGUGGGGAAUAUUGGACAAUGGGCGCAAGCCUGAUCCAGCCAUACCGCGUGGGUGAAGAAGGCCUUCGGGUUGUAAAGCCCUUUUGUUGGGAAAGAAAAGCAGCAGGUUAAUACCCCGCUGUUCUGACGGUACCCAAAGAAUAAGCACCGGCUAACUUCGUG